rnacentral:rRNA from 1 species
GAUGAACGCUGGCGGCGUGCCUAAUACAUGCAAGUCGAGCGAACGGACGAGAAGCUUGCUUCUCUGAUGUUAGCGGCGGACGGGUGAGUAACACGUGGAUAACCUACCUAUAAGACUGGGAUAACUUCGGGAAACCGGAGCUAAUACCGGAUAAUAUUUUGAACCGCAUGGUUCAAAAGUGAAAGACGGUCUUGCUGUCACUUAUAGAUGCAUCCGCGCUGCAUUAGCUAGUUGGUAAGGUAACGGCUUACCAAGGCAACGAUGCAUAGCCGACCUGAGAGAGUGAUCGGCCACACUGGAACUGAGACACGGUCCAGACUCCUACGGGAGGCAGCAGUAGGGAAUCGUCCGCAAUGGGCGAAAGCAUGACGGAGCAACGCCGCGUGAGUGAUGAAGGUCUUCGGAUCGUAAAACUCUGUUAUUAGGGAAGAACAUAUGUGUAAGUAACUGUGCACAUCUUGACGGUACCUAAUCAGAAAGCCACGGCUAACUACGUG